GCUGGGUGUGGUGGCGCACACCUGUAGUCCCAGCUACUCGGGAGGCUGAGGCAGGAGAAUCACUUGAACCCAGGAGGCAGAGGUUGCAGUGAGCAGAGACCGUGCCACUGCACUCCAGCCUGGUGAUAGAGUGAGACUCUGUCUCUA
rnacentral:SRP_RNA from 1 species